ensembl:snoRNA
AUCCUUCUGUGGUUCAUAAGCGUGAUGAUUGGGUUUACACAUGUCUGUGUGACAUGUACCACCUCACAACCUUGUUACAUUGACACAUUACCUGACAUAAA